UACGUAGGGGGCGAGCGUUGUCCGGAUUUAUUGGGCGUAAAGAGCGUGUAGGCGGCCAGGUAGGUCUGCUGUGAAAACUCGAGGCUCAACCUCGAGACGUCGGCGGAAACCAUCUGGCUAGAGUCCGGAAGAGGAGAGUGGAAUUCCUGGUGUGGCGGUGAAAUGCGCAGAUAUCAGGAAGAACACCCGUGGCGAAGGCGGCUCUCUGGGACGGUACUGACGCUGAGACGCGAAAGCGUGGGGAGCAAACGGG
rnacentral:rRNA from 1 species